ACUGUGGAUCCGUGCUGCUUUGACAGGCAGAAAAUUGGCAGAUUCCACUGCAUUUACAUUGCUUUUUUUUUUUUUUUUUUCUCGUGGUGGAGGGAGCCAGGAGGGCUGAGUGUUAAAAAGAGGGGUAGGAUGAGACAGAAACCCCAUUUCUCGGUGGCCGAGCUCGUGUCGGUGCCUCUUCUCUCCUCGUCUCGCUUUUCCCUCGGGAAAUCAGGACGCGGCCAGAUCCCGAGGUUUUUUUAUGAUUUUGGUGGGAUGAAGCCCUUCUUCACUUCCCUACUCCUGAUGUUAGGAGCUGUGAUGA